AGGAUUGGUUCGGCAUGGGCUGAGGAAGUGGCGUGGAAUAGGCAAUUAUUUGGGCUACCACGUCUGGGCUGUCUGUUGAAAAUGAGGAAACUGCUUGAGUUUAAUUUUUCAACUACCAUAGAUGGAGCAGUCAAGGAUGAAGUUGCCAAGAUUAGAGUUGUUAAAGAUGAAGUGUCGGAUGAGCGAACUGUUAAGUGUAAAAGUGGUUGAUGCCCCCUAACCACUUGUUGCUUAGUUGAUUUUCAAGCAUUUGAUCUUUUGAACUAUGUGGCCUUCUCACACUGGAGAGCUUACCCAGAUGGGUGUCAGGGAUUUAGUUUACCCUAUCGCAAUGGAGAGCAAUUAGUUUUACCUUCUUGUACUGAAGAGUAAUUAGUUUAUCCUCUCGCACUGGAGAGCAAACCCAUAUAGGUGUCGAGGAAUUGAUUUACCCUCUUGCAUUGGAGAGCAAUUAGUUUAUCCUCUCGUACUGGAGAGCAAUUAGUUUAUCCUCUCACACUGGAGAACAAACCUAUAUAGGUGUCGAGGAAUUGGUUUACCCUCUCACACUGGAGAGCAAUUAGUUUAUCCUCUUACAUUGGAGAGCAUACCUUUUUGGGUGUCGGGGAAUUGGUUUACCCUCUCGCACUGGAGAGCAAUUAGUUUAUCCUCUCGCACUGGAGAGCAGACCCAUACGGGUGUCAGGAAAUUGGUUUACCCUCUCGCAUUGGAUAGCAAUUAGUUUAUCCUCUCGCACUGGAAAGCAGACCCAUAUAGGCGUCGAGGAAUUGGUUUACCCUUUCGCACUAAAGAGCAUGAAAGUCGUUGUCGUGAGUGCAGCUAAGGAAAACUGGACUGUUGGGACAACCAAAAUAAUCCUUAGCCUGCGAGGUCAUGUUUGGCAAUCUGCUUGAGACUUCAAAUUACUUGUGGACCUCGCGUAAGGGUGUAAGCAUUGAGCUGCUCCCAAAAUUAUUGUGCCAUCAUUAGGUGUUUCAUUGUGUGCCUUUUUGAGGCUUGGUUAGCAUGAGCCACAUGGCAAGAUCGGCAUGGCUGGGAGCCAUGGUGCAAGAUUGGCACAGUUAUGAGCCAUGGUGAUAGAUCAAUGGCUGUCGGGAGCCGUGGAGCAGGCAGGCGUGGUUGUGAAAUCAGAGAUGAGGCUAGCUUGGGCCAGGUUGUGCGCAGUAGGAGGAAUUGUCUAGAGUGUUGAGAACAAGGUCUGCCCCCGGUUCUUGGUAGUCGAGCUGGUGUUUCUUUCUGGUACUCGUCUGCCCCGGCGUGCCAUUAGGCUGAGCUUCUAUGUUUGUCGAAACAGAAGAAGUCUUUAUAUUCGGUAAUCUAUGUGGGGUAGUCCCGUAUGCUCGAUCUUGUAAUUGAAAUAUAACUUGCUUAUGUUAGUCAUGUUUCAUCGAAGCGCCUUGUCAAUAGCUUUGUUGCACGAGAAAUCGUGCAAUCACUCGGUCAGAAGUAUUUCUACUUCUUCUUGAAUUUACCUUUCUUGGGGUGGCAAAGCCCUCGGCUGCCCCCGGUCGUGACCUGCUGGUUUAGGCUGCUCUUCCAUGUGUUCGGGUCGUUUAUGCCGUGGCUGCGGUCAGUGUGGUAUGUUUCUAAUAGGAGAGCGAGUAACUCACAAGCUGCUAGUUAAACUUGUGCCGGAUUGAGUGAUUGCUUAUCUCAGUCCCCUGUGAUGCCUACUCCGAUGUGAGGUAAAUGAUGCUCCUUGCGAGCCUUACCGCCAAUGAACACUUCGCCUAGAAGGUUGCUUAUGUUGAUUAUUGGAGUGUGGCCCCAACCGUGAGUGUAUGUUUGUCCGUGGGCCUAACUUAGAGUGCACGCUUUUCCACGCGCUAAGACGGGUGUAUACGCUAUCUUGGGGUUCCAAUUGGGAGUGUACUUUGUUAGAACGCUCGAUUCGUGACUGGUCAAGUGGCUGCUUGCCGGGUGGUUGGUGGAGAGGUUCGUCUGUCCUUGUCCUUCUUCGGGACACCUCAUCCGGGGUACAUUGGAUCCCGGUGCGUUGCAAGAGUUGAUUCACCAAGGUUGUUUAUUGUGCAAGGAUGCUCAUCAACUCUAUGACUUGUCGAGACAAGUGUUGUUCACCAUUUGGAUUAGAAAAGCUUGGAAAUAAUAUGUCUCAUUGAGCAAUGGAAGUGUGGUAAGCUUUGGGCGCGAGAUUUGACUUGGGAAAUGUCAAAUCAGAGGAGAAACAUGGUGAAAAUGCCCCCGUCUCAAUGGUUG
rnacentral:lncRNA from 1 species